rnacentral:rRNA from 1 species
UAUGGUAGAGAUAUCAUAGCUAGCAAUAGUCUGUAUCGAGGUGCUGCAUGGUUGUCGUCAGCUCGUGCCGUGAGGUGUCGGCUUAAGUGCCAUAACGAGCGCAACCCUUGUCGUUAGUUACCAUCAAGUAAAGUUGGGGGACGUCUAGCGAGACUGCCACCCGUAAGGUGUGAGGAAGGGGGGGGAGUGACGUCAAAUCAGCACGGCCCUUACGUCCGGGGCGACACACGUGUUACAAUGGUAGGUACAGAGGGCCGCUAUCCAGCGAUGGAAUGCUAAUCUCGAAAACCUAUCUCAGUCCGGAUCGGAGUCUGCAACUCGACUCCGUGAAGUUGGAUUCGCUAGUAAUCGCGCAUCAGCCAUGGCGCGGUGAAUACGUUCCCGGGCCUU